GCAGGGACGUUAGACGGUUGUGGAGGGGAGUUGAGCCGGCUGUGGGUGGCGCGCAGGAUGGAUGAGGAGGGGCUGGAGGGGCAGCAGAGCAGGUGUAGGGAUCUGGUGGCGCCUCACAGGCUCCAGGAUCUGUGUCCCCGCCCGAGGGGCAAAUCUUCACGUCUUAAAAUGUUGUAACCUGCUUCGCAGAGUCACACCCUGGGCUUUCCGCGUGUUAAUGAAGUAGGUGAUGCCUCGGAACAGUCAGGCUUUGUCCCGUCCCUCGCCUGGACUCCUGAAGGAUGUUGGGAUCAAAGACAGAGGAAGUUUUGGGACUGCCCAUAUUACAAAGCCUAAGUGCCUUCAUUGUACUGUACUUCAUCAGCAGCACCAGAGACCUCAUAGUAUAAACGAGUCAGAUGUGUUCUCCAAGGAGCUUGCUGCAAUCUAAUUUCAGACAUGACACAAGAUAGGGAGUUACAAAACUGAAGGGAAGAGUUGCAAGAGGAAGGACAAAGUGAAAGCACUAAGAUUACAUGGUUACUCAACAAAGGUUAAACAACAGUUGACACCUUGUGAAAAAGAUUGAAAAACAACCUACUGAGAAAUGCUGCAGUCUACAUAUCUGGUAUUUAUCUUCCUCUGUGUUUCUCUUUACUAGUAUGAGUGAUAUUAACCUGGAAAUGGAUCUUGUUUCUUUAGAGUUUAACUGUGGAUACCUCACCUGAAUCUGCAACAAACAAACCCCCCACUCCAGUGUAUUCUGCAACAAAGAUCCAAAAUGCUACAGCUUCAAAUAGUAUUACUGCAGGGUCUGGGACAAUUACUGUAGAAUACAGCACUAUGUUCUAAAACGGGGAUCCAUAGUUGCCCAUAUAUUCUGUUGAAAGCAGUGGGAGUUCUGCCUGCAUGAGGCUUGCAGGAUGGGGCUCUCUAUGAUCCUUAUGGAAAUCAUACAUUGAAACCAAAAAGUUCUUUUGGCGCUAAACCUUAAUCCCUUUGCUCUUGUAAGCAGUAGUCACCAAAGACACUUCAAUGAGAUUACUGGCAUGAGUAAGGAUAGCAGAAUUUGGACCCUGAUGAUUAUUAGUCAUUAGCAAAGCAAAUGGGACACUGAUUUCCAGGCUCUCACUGAGCUCUUGUCCUGCUAGCCUUGCAAAUGUCCGUAAUUUACAAGAAGGCAGCAGCUUCCACUAUGUUUGGAAAUACCAAAUGUGAUUUCAAGUUAUAAAUAAAACUGAUUUCUCAGUACAUUCAGGGAAGUGUGUCUUAAUUUUCACAAUUCUGGUAUGAGCAAAAUAAGUGCAGUUGUUCAUUAAAGUGUUUAGCUUUUAUUAACUGUGAACUAAUCUACCAAAACUGCAGAGGGUCUACUGCCAACUCCAAACUCAGCCAGCAAGUUUCUUAUGAAUCUGGCAGAUGUUUCUUUGAAACUAAUUUUGUCCACUCCCCUUCAGACCCUCCAAAGAACUAAUGAACACAAACUGUGAUUUAGAUUCUCAGUUAGAGCAUGCUCCUGCAAACUGAUUCAUGCGAGUAGCUGUUACACAGGGCCAGUUUUAGGAGUGGGUGAGCAGGGCAGUGGCCCUGGGUGCCAGCUUCCAUGGGGUGCCAUAUUGCUGCACUUCUCUGUUUGUUUGUUUGUUUGUUUGUUGCACUUCUCUGAUCAGGUGGCCAUUUUUGCUCUGCUGAUUGGCCAGCCUUCCCCCCACUCCUGGUUGCUCACGGGGGGGGGAGGAAGGGGGCAUGAAAAACUUUUUCUGCCCUGGCUGGCAAAACAGCAAAGACAGCUGCGGUCCUUGUUUAUGCAUAUAGACCCACUGAAGUCAAUGGGACUACUCACAUGAGUAAGGGUUCUCAAAAUCUGGCCCAUAGUUAACACCAAGAAAAAUCUCAUAGGAAAAUGGAAUACUGGUUCCUUAGGCAUAAACUGAAGUUUCAAGAUGUCUGAAAGAUUAAUUGCUAGAUUUGAAUUGCUUUAUAAUAAUAUAUUGUAUUUUAUGUCAAUUGAUCUCUGAAGUUGAAUAAUCCAGACCAAUUUAAUUUCCAAGGUUUUUUUCUGAAUACAGAUAGUCAAGAUUUGCAAAAGUGCCUACUAAUUUGGGAUACCUCAUUUUUGGGUGUCCAACUUGAGACCCUCUUAAAGGGGACUGAUUUUUCAGCAAGAACUGAGCAUCCACCCACUGAGAAUCAAGCCACUUUAAGGGGUAUCAACUCAGACACCCAAAAAUGAGGUACCCAAAAUUACUAGUCACUUUUGAAAAUCUUGCCCUACAUUGCCUUUUAAUUCCAGUUUCAGAAAUGGAUUAUCAUUACUCCAGUGUCAAACUAUCGUAAUGUAGGUAGUGUCUCUCUCUCAAAUUCAUGUUCAUUUGCCUAGCAAUCCUUACCUCUUAUACAUCACGAUUAGACACCUCUGAAGUUUUGUAUAUUUGAAUGUAGGAUAUGCACUUGCCUGUGUGAAAGCUGCCACUCCAUAUUUCCCUGCUUUCUAUAAAUCACAAUGACAAGUUCCUAAUGACAAAACAACCUCUCAGAGAAGUGCUAAAAUCAUUCCAAUAUCACUUACAAUACAUUAUUGUGGUAAUUGGAUUGGGGGGUAGAUAAGACAUAAAAUCAAGCUCCUUUUCAACUGAAAAGUUUCCAUGACUCUUUGUGCGAGUGUAGGAGUGUUAACCCUGGUGUUCUGACCAAAUACCAACUCAGGAGAUUACAUUCUGCCUUCCUAAAUUCCCCUUAGUAUGUUAUGUUUUUUCCAUACACAAAGAGCAACCAUACAUAGAUACACUUUUUAUAUUACCUUUUCUUUUGUAGUAAAAGAACAAAAGUAAGUCCUCCAAGAGAGAAUACACAGUGUGUGAGUUUCUUGUCUAGCAGACUGCAUCUACACACACUAAGGCCUGGUCU